AUUUGAGUAAUUUAUUUAAAAUACUGAUUUGUGGGGUCAGAAAUGUAAUUUAAUUACCUUAAGUU
rnacentral:tRNA from 1 species